rnacentral:lncRNA from 1 species
UACUGUAUAUAUAUGGAAGAAUAGAAAAGCAAGCCGAAGGUGAUGGACUUAAGGAAUAAGCGUUACAGUUAACACCGCGAAGGGCUGCUAUGGUCCAUCUUAAAACCGGACGAUUCAACGCCGCACAUGAUUUCCCUUUACAGCGUUUUUUCGCAAUUCUCUUCCGCAGGGUGGCAGCAUAUUAGCGCCAGACGACUUGGUAAAACUUGGUAAGUCUUUUUUGUUUUUGUUUUUUUCAUAUCGCCUGCAGUUCAUGUAUGAGAUGUCCCAUCUGGUGUGAUGAGGGUGGCGUCCAACUGCCGCCGGGAGCCGCUCCGUUGCCCAACAGCCAGCGAUGCCAGUGCAGCAUUUUUGUGAAACUGUAUAUGUAUAGACAACAGAGGCAAAGUGUAGUGCCAGUAAGGCUGGGGAAGAAGGGAAGCAAAUACAUAGCCUUUGCCGCUGCAUCCGGUGUGCAGCCCGUACGUGCACACAUCCUUUAUGCACUCGCUUGGUCUGGUUUUACAUUGGCCCGUCCUGUGGGAUGGAUGGGUGGGUGGGGGGCGCUACCAUAAGCAAGCGGAGCCGAUCGAUUGACGACGCCACCACCAUCGCUCACGGCAGCUCUUACUCGGAUGCAGCAGGCAACUGCUGCUGAUGAGUAGCCAAUCCAAUAAACGAGAUCUUCUUCACGAUUAAUUCGGAUGUGAGUCAAGACGCAUCGACUACCUUCAUCGAUUUGCCAAUUGAAAUCUUGUUUCACCUCCUUUCUACGUGUGUUCUGCAAUCAUUUUUAGGGCUAUCAGGUGUCUAUUGCAUGUAAAACUAUAAUCAAGCAAAACUACAACUAUACAAGCACAAAGAUAAGCUCAUUUUCAUAGUUGAACACAUAUCCCCUGGUCGCAUGUCAUCCUGAGUGAUAGCAUCAACAUCUUGCCACUUCCUACAGCCUCUGUUCAAUUCACACUCGACUAUGUUCAUCCCUUACAGUUGACGAUAUGUUUCAAUUUCAUUUGCGAACUGUGACAGUGUCUGUCAUCCACACCAGUUCCAAAGUGCCAUGAUUUGCCCACCGUCGUCUUCUCUUAACAAAACGACACAUAGAGACGUCCAUUUUUAGUCAUUACACAAGCCGUUGAUUUUUUUACUUCAUUGACACUGUAAUCCACUAGUAAAAGCCUAUAGCAACUGAUCGCGGCCUUCAGCAUGUGCGAAUAUCCUUCACGAAGAGGAUAACAACCUGCCGCAAAGAUUAGAUUUGUCCCUGCACUCAGUUGCUUAAUGCAAUUCUCUUCGUCUCAUUUUUGUUUUUGUUCUUCGACAACCCUUUUCGUUCUUUUCCUCCGGCUUCAGUUUGAUGUAGACUUUCAAUACAAUAUAUGUACUGUAUAUAUGUCUCCAUCACAGUUAGAGCACUAACUCUCCCGCUGCUCCCAAUAUUUUAUUUUAUUUUUUUCUCUUUCUUUUGGCCUCUGUUCGGUUGGUAUUGUGUUAAAACUGCAUCUCUCCCUCCCCCCCCCCUUUUUUUUUUACCCAGCUGCUUUUAUGUAAGCAUCUGCGGUAGGUCCAAGUGGUGUGCCAUUGUCAACGACACCUGCAACCACUCUCAUCAUUCGAUUAAACACGCCCCCCUCCCAGUACAUUUACUGCGUGUAUGUAUAUAUAUGUUUGCAUCGUAUAUAUUCUAUCCAUUCUUAUUAUAGGAAAGUCGGGUGUGUGUUGCAUGUUCUACCUUGUUACAUUUUUCGUUGGCUCCCCUGUUGUACUUCCACAAAACACAAUUGAGGUUCAGGGUUCGAUGAACAAGUUCUUACAAGUCA